ACCAAGUUAUUUGUGUGUAAACAGAAGCUUUUGAUUUCCUAAUCAGCCUCCUGCCCGAUUCAUUCAGAGAUGUCACACACCAGAGUUUGACAGCACAAUUAGUCACCAUGGAAGCUAUUGUGAUGUCACAAACACUGAAUUGUGGCAUCAUUGAAUGAAUCUGGCAGGAGAAGGAUGUUGGUUACAAAGGAGAAGGCUUCUGUUUACACAAUACCUUGGUAAUCAGCAAUGAUGGGAAAGAGAAUAUAGAAAAAAAGAGCCUGGUAGUUUAAUGAGCAUUGAUAAAACUGAAAAUUUGUAAAGGUUUUUAGAAGUGCAUGUGGUGUAUUAAGCUACGGAGAUAAAGAUUCUGUAAUUUAUACUUUAACUCUUCACCUCAUCCUAUGUCCUCAGAAUUGAAAGCGUAUCACAGACACAGACCAAAAAAACAUUCCUCAUGAAGUAUAUCUACUAAUACUCCAAAUGCUACACUUUUUAAAGCGUUAUUGUAUGCCAUGGAGAAUUAUAGAUAGCAUUAUCUGAGCGAUACACUGUUGCAAGCUGCACAGCAGAACCCUGUAACUAAUCAGUGCCACAAAAUAACAGGAAAAGCAAGACUGAAUAACAUGAGAUCCUUUCAGGUGGAGGAGCUGCUGCCUGGAGAGCAGAUACCACCACUGGUCCAGAAAUUGCCCAUGGAUUUGCAGGUGGUACCACCAUUUUUUCCCUGCCUGAAGUCAAGUUUAGCUAACCCCCUCCCCCACCUCAGCACGUCUGGCUUUCAUAAGCAUUACUGUAGGUAUGUAAGGCUGAGUCUGUUCACCCAGGUCUCCCAGCUGGUGAUGAGCUGAGCUGUUUCAUAGGACCGUACUCUAAGGAUCAAGCUUAAUUUGCCUAAGCUGUUUAUUUGCAAUAGCUUCAGACACAGCAAAGUAGCAACAGAGCGCUAGCGUGAAGAUUAGACAAUUCUUCUUUUUUUUUUAAUAACAACAACAAAAAAAAAACAAACCAGAGGAUGGGAAAUAAAGGAAGGACUUUAAA